CAGUCGCCGCGGGAAUACGAAGGGUGCAAGCGUUAAUCGGAAUUACUGGGCGUAAAGCGUGCGUAGGCGGUUUGUUAAGUCUGCUGUGAAAUCCCCGGGCUCAACCUGGGAAUGGCAGUGGAUACUGGCAAGCUAGAGUGUGUCAGGGGAUGGUGGAAUUCCCGGUGUAGCGGUGAAAUGCGUAGAGAUCGGGAGGAACAUCAGUGGCGAAGGCGGCCAUCUGGGACAACACUGACGCUGAGGCACGAAAGCGUGGGGAGCAAACAGGAUUAGAUACCCCCGUAGUCCCUGUCUCUUAUAC
rnacentral:rRNA from 1 species